CUCCAGGAGCUAUUAAUAGAACACUUGCCUUUGGGAAGAAGAAAGGAAGCUGGGGAGGGAAGCGGGAGCCACAUUAGGAAAGGCCUUGCCUUCCGGGUAAAAUCCACUGAAGAGACAAGCCAAAGCGACGACUUAGUCUGAUCCCAGCUUGAAGGAGAGUGGGCUGAGGGGACAGGGUUCCUAGGGCAGAGAUGAAAUGCUGUAAGCAAUUUUGAGGUUUUCAAACAAUACAUUUACAAUCAAGAGCCAUUUGGGAAAGUCAAUCCAAUGGACAGCCGAGUCCAAGAGAGGAGGACAAAAAGGACCACAACACCAGGUUCUGGUUUGGAUGAGUAGGUGGGAGAUAGUGCCAUUUAUAAGAAGAGAAGGUCUUCCUGUCCCAAAAUAUGUACUUCAGACAAGUCUUAAAUGUCCCUACCUCAGAAGCUCAACCUCCUGUCUCAAGUUCUUCAUCCAUUCUGUGCCUUUCCCACCCUGCCUCCAUUCCUAACCCACCAGGCAGCUGGUGUCCCCUCUAAGUUGGGUUUGUUUUCCUCCACUCUGCCUCGUUUCCUGGGUCAUUUCCCACACCCAACUCUGCAUCAGUCCGUUUCCUUCAGCUUUGCCCAUUUCUAGUCAGUGAAAACAAAACAAAACUGGAAGUGGGGUGGGUGGGUGUGUGAGAGAGAGAGACAGAGACAGAGACAGAGACAGAGACAGAGACAGAGAGCCAAGCGAGCUCUUUACCAUUGAGCUGCACACCCCAGCUAUUUAGAUAGUUGCUUUGACUAUAUAAGCAGGGAAGCAUGGCUGUGGGAACUGCGGCUGCCACUGCUUUCACCACUAGAAACAGGAUGCUCUGGCUAUCACAGAUUUGUGGCCAGAUCCAUGGAGCACUGGAGAAGUUGCUUUUCUCAAAACUGGUCAUUCUCCUCGAGCCUCCUGAGCCCUGGUUCCUCCUCUCAUGGCCUGUAGAUAUCCAUGACUCAUCGUUAGGAGCUUUCUGUGGCUCCUGGACCCACGUGCCUAUUUACAUUCCCAUCUUCCGUGCUUGUUGCCCAGCUGCUGGAGGAAAGCACAGAUCUUCCUGCCACUCCUAACUCAGAACACCACACCCUCCAUUCUCCUCUGAGGAUAGCUGUCAGCUGUCCCCUCCUGCCCUUCGUCUUCCAAUCUGCACUUCAACUGGCCAUUUUUAUUUGAAGACAAGAGAAAUUAAAUCAUGCAUCCAUAUCAGAAAGGCUUUGUUUCCUUGUGAGUUACCCCUAAUAAAGGGGUUUCAUCUCUAUUGAAAAAGUUUGUUCCAUUAUGAGUUAUCACCAGGUGGUGGUGGUGCACACCUUUAAUACCAGUACUUGGGAGGCAGAGGAUUAAGGUCAUGUGGUACUACAUACUAACAGAGGCCCAUAGGUUUGAAUAUUUGGUCCCCAGUUGGUGGAACUGUUUGGGAAGGUGUGGCCUGGUGUGUCAUUGGGGGCUAGCUUUGAGAUUUCAAAAACCCAUGCCAAACCAAGUGUCUUUCUAUCUGCCUCAUGCUUGUAGAUCAAGAGGCAAGCUCUCAGCGUCUACCCCAGCACCAUGCCUGCCUGCCACCGUGUUCCCCGGCAGGAUGGUCAUGUACUCACCCUCUGACAUUGUAAGCCCCAAAUAAACACUUGGUUUUAUAAGUUUCCUAGGUCAUAAUGUCUCAUUACCACAAUAGAAAAGUAACUAAGAUGCCUUCCUUUUCUCUCUCUUCUUCCUCCUCUUUCUUCUCUCUCCCCUCACUUAUCCCCACGUUCCACUGAGCUAUAUCUCCAGCCCCUAUUUUUACUUUUAUGUGUGCAUAAAAGAUACCUGUUUAUUCUUUGUUUCUGCCCAUUUCUCCACUUUGUAUGAGGGACACGGGGCUUCAUUUAUUCUCCUAUAACUUUUUGCUUUGUAGUCAAAGUGGCAUUCAUGAGAUCCACUACUCAAUGAGUUCACCUCACUCCAGAUGCUAGAUAAUGCUCAGUGAUGUUGGAUGUUUUAAUUCUUUCCCAUCUCAUGUAUAAAAAGCAUAGUGUUGAGUUUACAUUUUAUAGCAUAUACCACAGAUACUGAUUUUAUACUAUAUCUUCCUUAAAUACCAAUGAGAUUGAAAACUUGUCCCAAUGCUUCUUGGUCAUUUGUGUGGCUUCUUCCAUGAAAAUAGCUAUUUCUAUUCUCUCUCUCUCUCUCUCUCUCUCUCUCUCUCUCUCUCUCUCUCUCUGGGUGUGUGUGUGUAUGUGUGUGUGACACAUAUGCACAUAGAGGUCAGAGGUCAAGCUCAGGAGCCAUCUGCACUGACUUUUUUUAAAAGAUUUAUUUAUUUAUUAUGUGUAUAACAUUCUUCCUCCAUAUAUUCCUGCAUGCCAGAAGAGGGCACCAGAUCUCAUUACAGAUGGUUGUGAGCCACCAUGUGGUUGCUGGGAAUUGAACUCAGGACCUCUGGAAGAACAGCUAGUGCUCUUAACCUCCGAGCUAUCUCUCCAGCCCCUACACUGACUUUUUAAAGACAGGGCUACUUACUGUGACCUGGGGCUCCCAGAUGAGGCUAGGCAGACCCUCACCAGUGUCAAUGUUUUCUCCUACCUGUGAUGUUUCCUUCUAGAAUCUAAUCCAUCUUCCCGAGUCCUAGAGCUUUCAGGGCUGUGCAGGAGCCAGAUGCACCGCUUCCCAAGCCAGCCCUUCUUUACCUGUUUGCCUUUGUGUUAGGAGGAAAUUCGGGGGUUUGCAUUGCCUGCCCUGCUUUGCAAUAAAGAAAGCAUGUUUGUGGCAGAGGUGCCUGUUGGUGGCUAAAUGUGAUGUAGUAACACUGGAAAUGUCUGCCAGGCCCUGUGCCAUGUGGUAGGGACAGUGAUGAGUAAAAUAGUCCCUGACCUCAGGAAGCUUAUAUUCCCAUGAAUUCCGAUGUGUUGUUUUUUUAAAGUGCUUUACCUAUAUCAUUUACAAGAAUCAAUUCUAAGUGGGAUACAAGUUUUAAGAGAACUUCAUUUUUAGGAGAGGAACAGAAUGUUUAGGGGAAUGUCUUUGAAGCUGGGUGUGAGGAUGCACUCCUAUAACCUCAGCACUUUUGAAUGUAUCCUAAGAAACAGCUAUAUGAACAUGUGAGUAUAUGUUACCAUGUUUUGAAAAAGGAGAAAGGGGUAUAUAAUAAAUCUUUCCACCAAGCCACCUGAGCCCCGCUGCCAUGUGGGCACCCAAAAUAACACACAGAGAUUUAUAUUAGGUACAAUGCUGCUGGCCAAUGACUAGGAUUUCUUAUCUGCUUGCUCUGUCUUAAGUAUCAACCAUAGCCAC
rnacentral:lncRNA from 1 species